UGAGCCGAUUCAGUGCUUUCAACUUUAUAUUUGGUACUUUAAUUAGAAUGAGGCAUUAUUGAUGGAUAGAUCUCGGACCAGGCUUCAUUCCCCCCAAUAUCCAUAGCUUCCUUCCUCUACUAAUAUUAACCUCCUCCAUGACAACUGCAUCACCAUCGCCAUCCGUCUCGUGGAUUUGAUUCUUUGGUUGAGGUAUUCGGUGCAGAUUGGUGUGAUGAUGAGGGUUUUUGACUCAAAUGUGAUGCUGCUGACGACCACGGCCAUCAUGAUUACGGAAAAAGGCCUUCAUCAUUACCUCUACAGGCAGUUUUUUUUUUUCGCUUUCAGCUUCUUUUCUUUUUUCACUAAAUAUUUUAUUUUAUUUUACUUCACCUUUUCUUCUGGUUUUCAAAAGAUACUCCAUGCCCUUAA